UGGGGAAUUUUGGACAAUGGGCGCAAGCCUGAUCCAGCCAUGCCACGUGCGGGAAGAAGGCCUUCGGGUUGUAAACCGCUUUUGUCAGGGAAGAAAUCUUCUGAGUUAAUACCUCGGGAGGAUGACGGUACCUGAAGAAUAAGCACCGGCUAACUACGUGCCAGCAGCCGCGGUAAUACGUAGGGUGCAAGCGUUAAUCGGAAUUACUGGGCGUAAAGCGUGCGCAGGCGGUUUUGUAAGACAGAGGUGAAAUCCCCGGGCUCAACCUGGGAACUGCCUUUGUGACUGCAAGGCUUGAGUGCGGCAGAGGGGGAUGGAAUUCCGCGUGUAGCAGUGAAAUGCGUAGAUAUGCGGAGGAACACCGAUGGCGAAGGCAAUCCCCUGGGCCUGCACUGACGCUCAUGCACGAAAGCGUGGGGAGCAAAACAGGAUUGGAUACCCUGGUAGUCCACGCCCUAAACGAUGUCAACUGGUUGUUGGGAAGGUUCCUUCUCAGUAACGUAGCUAACGCGUGAAGUUGACCGCCUGGGGAGUACGGCCGCAAGGUUGAAACUUAAAUGAAUUGACGGGGUCAUAGCUGUUUCCU
rnacentral:rRNA from 1 species